rnacentral:rRNA from 1 species
AGCAGCCGCGGUAAUUCCAGCUCCAAUAGCGUAUAUUAAAGUUGUUGCAGUUAAAAAGCUCGUAGUUGAAUUUCGGGAUCAAUAUUUCGGUCAUGCCGUUGGUAUGCACUGUUAUCAUUGAUUUCUCACCUUCUAAAGAACCGUAAUGCCAUUAAUUUGGUGUUACGGGGAAUUAGGACUGUUACCUUGAAAAAAUUAGAGUGUUUAAAGCAGGCUCACGCUUGAAUACAUUAGCAUGGAAUAAUGAAAUAGGACAUCCGAUUCUAUUUUGUUGGUUUCUAGGAUCGAUGUAAUGAUUAAUAGGGAUAGUUGGGGGCAUUAGUAUUCAAUUGUUAGAGGUGAAAUUCUUGGAUUUAUUGAAGACUAACUACUGCGAAAGCAUUUGCCAAGGAUGUUUUCAUUAAUCAAGAACGAAAGUUAGGGGAUCGAAGACGAUCAGAUACCGUCGUAGUCUUAACCAUAAACUAUGCCGACUAGGGAUCGGAUGAUGUUAAUUUUUAAUGACUCAUUCGGCGCCUUA